AUUCCCCUAGUAACGGCGAGUGAAGAGGGAAAAGCCCAGCACCGAAGCCUGCGGCAGAUUUGCUGUUAGGCAAUGUGGUGUUUGGGUCGGCUCGUGGGACUGCCACUCCACUCGAAGUCCAGCAUUGAGUAUGGUCACUGGAUUUGGCCCAGAGAGGGUGAAAGGCCCGUACGGGUGGAGGUUCAGAAAUGUAAGGCAGUUCACCAGGUCGACCUUAGAGUCGGGUUGUUUGGGAAUGCAGCCCAAAGCGGGUGGUAAACUCCAUCCAAGGCUAAAUACAAGCACGAGUCCGAUAGCGAACAAGUACCGUGAGGGAAAGUUGAAAAGUACUCUGAAGAGAGAGUAAACAGUACGUGAAACCGCAUGCAGGUAAACGGGUGGCGUCAAGCUGCAAGCCCAGAGGAUUCANCCGGCUAGGAUGUUGUGUAUGCGCCUGGCGCAUCUAUCAGUCAGAGUAUGAUUGGAUAGUCCACUGGUAAACGGUGGGCCCGACCGUAAGGUUGGGAUAUGUGUACCGGGUGGGUGCCGGAGCAUGCUAUCCGUCUAGGGACUGUCUAGCCGGUGCACUUUCUCUGUGGUGAACACCACGACCGGUGGUAUUGCCAGUCUGCUGUGUCCAAGUCCUAUCUGGUAGGUCCUUGUGGCCAACUGGGUAGGAUCACAGGCAAACUCAGUAAACGGCGUAGAGGUGUUUCGGCAUCUUUGCGUGUUAUCGGCUACUGGUUGUCAACGGGCCUGCCUAAUGUUUGUUGUAACCGACAUUGGGUGGUCUGGUGGGGCAUAGUGGUAAGAAUAACUGUGCAAGGCACCGGAGUUAUCGGCCUCAAAUGCACCCUGCGCCCAUGUUACAAAUGGUUAAAUGGUAGUGCCGUUGCUGCCUGCCCGUGGUUGGGUCUGAUUGUCGUGUCGCCUGCGCAAAGUGGGCCCGGCAGUGGCUCGGCUCGGGAUGGGUAGUGGAUGGUGCUGUCAGUGUGGGGUGUGGUGGGCCUAAUAGUCAGUGGUGUAGUGGUAGACGAGCUACCCGACCCGUCUUGAAACACGGACCAAGGAGUUUAACAUGUAUGCGAGUCAAUGGGCGUUACGAAACCCAAAGGCGCAGUGAAAGUGAAGCUUCGACUUGUCUCGAAGUGAGGUGAGAUCCUGCUGUUACUCGCAUCAGCCUAAUGUCAGCAUCAGGCUAAGAGCAGUGGGCGCAUCACCGGCCCGUCCCAUGAUGUGGUCAUUGGAUGUGCUGUGGUCGUUGCUUCGGUGGCGGCCGUGGUGCCAGUGCGUCAUCGGGGCGGUGCAUGAGCAUACAUGUUGAGAC
rnacentral:rRNA from 1 species